GAUGAACGCUGGCGGCGUGCCUAAUACAUGCAAGUCGAGCGAAUGGAUUAAGAGCUUGCUCUUAUGAAGUUAGCGGCGGACGGGUGAGUAACACGUGGGUAACCUGCCCAUAAGACUGGGAUAACUCCGGGAAACCGGGGCUAAUACCGGAUAAUAUUUUGAACUGCAUGGUUCGAAAUUGAAAGGCGGCUUCGGCUGUCACUUAUGGAUGGACCCGAGUCGCAUUAGCUAGUUGGUGAGGUAACGGCUCACCAAGGCAACGAUGCGUAGCCGACCUGAGAGGGUGAGCGGCCACACUGGGACUGAGACACGGCCCAGACUCCUACGGGAGGCAGCAGUAGGGAAUCUUCCGCAAUGGACGAAAGUCUGACGGAGCAACGCCGCGUGAGUGAUGAAGGCUUUCGGGUCGUAAAACUCUGUUGUUAGGGAAGAACAAGUGCUAGUUGAAUAAGCUGGCACCUUGACGGUACCUAACCAGAAAGCCACGGCUAACUACGUGCCAGCAGCCGCAGUAA
rnacentral:rRNA from 1 species